CAGGAAAGAACUUGGAUGUAAUCAGUAAAGCAACCCCUAAAGAGCAGAGAGACAUUCCCAGAUCCUCUGGUGUCACGGUGGAUGUGGUUUCAUCCCUCCCUUGCACUGCAUCAAGGCUACAACUUGGGAAUCAGAGUCUGGCUGCAAAACACCUGGAAAGGUCAUUCUAUGAGGAGAAAUUAGGUGGAAUGAACAUAUGGGCCAAGAUCCUGUAAAGCUGUUGGAAACGGGAUACAAGGUAGGCCAUCAUUUCCAGGAAUUUUACUCUUCUCAAAGGACUCAAGGGCUUUAGUCAGCUCAUCCAGAGAUUACAACUGGUCCAGACUCUCCCAUGUGCUGUCAUCUGAGACCUGCUAGAUAGAGGUCAGGAACAAAAGGGAGACCAUACAAUCUGUGGGCUUUUUGUCAUAAGGUCUGGCACAAAAGGAUUUGCUGACCCUCAAAAUGUCAGACUGAGAUUAUGUUACCAAGCCAGCUUUCUCCUACACACUGCUGAUCACAGAGCUCUCCCUGUGCAUUUUCUGGAAGAUGAAACAUGAG